UACGUAGGGACCGAGCGUUGUCCGGAUUCAUUGGGCGUAAAGAGCUCGUAGGCGGCCACUCAAGUCGAAUGUGAAACCUCGAGGCUUAACCUCGAGCCUGCAUUCGAUACUGGGCGGCUAGAGUCUGGUAGGGGGGAUCUGGAAUUCCUGGUGUAGCGGUGGAAUGCGCAGAUAUCAGGAGGAACACCGGUGGCGAAGGCGGGAUCCUGGGCCGUAUGACGCUGAGGAGCGAAAAGCGUGGGGGAGCGAACAGGG
rnacentral:rRNA from 1 species